UCCAAUGGGUCAUGUGAUUUCUGUAACUCAUGUAAUAGGUCCCAAUGGGUCAUGUGAUUUCUGUAACUCAUGUAAUAGGUCCCAAUGGGUCAUGUGAUUUCUGUAACUCAUGUAAUAGGUCCCAAUGGGUCAUGUGAUUUCUGUAACUCAUGUAAUAGGUCCCAAUGGGUCAUGUGAUUUCUGUAACUCAUGUAAUAGGUCCCAAUGGGUCAUGUGCUUUCUGUAAUAUGUCAUUCUAUGUCUUUUUUUUUACUGUCUGAUAUUCCUAUUAAUUAUGUUAAUAUGUAUUCCUAUUCAUUAUAUACAUUUUAUAUAUAUUCAUUAUGUUAAUCUUUAUUUCUAUUUAUUAUGUAAAUGUUUUCUUCCUAUUCAUUAUGUGGAUUUUUAUUUAUAUUUUUGGUCUCUCUUGUCUCGAACAUAGUAGUAUUGUAGUAGUGUAGUACUGUAAUACUCUAGUACUCUAGUACUGUAAUACUCUAGUAGUCUAAUACUCUAGUACUGUAAUACUCUAGUACUGUAAUACUGUAGUACUGUAGUACUCUAGUACUGUGAUACUGUAAUACUGUAGUACUGUAAUACUGUAAUACUCCAGUACUGUAGUACUGUAAUACUGUAGUACUGUAAUACUGUAGUACUAUAAUACUGCAAUACUCUAGUACUGUAGUACUGUAAUACUCUACUACUGUAGAACUGUAGUAUUGUAAUACUGUAAUACUCUAGUACUGUAGUACAACAAUGUUGUAGUGUGUGGGUGUGUGUGCGUGCGUGUUCAUGCACUGAUCACGUUUUAGAAAAAACAAUCACGGUUGUAAAAAUUGACAUCAACUGCAAGCACAGUCAUUGGUUCCCUGAGAUUGCCCAAUAGGAAGCCGACCCAUGCUGCUACAAAAAAACUGAGCAAACUAGAAUGCUAUUUGGCCCUAAACAGAGAGUACACAGUGGCAGAAUACCUGACCACUGUGACUAACCCAAACUUAAGGAAAGCUUUGACUAUGUACUCAGUGAGCAUAGCCUUGCUAUUGAGAAAGGCCACCGCAGGCAGACAUGGCUCUCAAGAGAAGACAUGGUCUGUGCAACACUGCCCACAAAAUGAGGUGGAAACUGAGCUGCACUUCCUCUAACCUCCUGCCCAAUGUAUGACCAUAUGAGAGACACAUAUUUCCAUCAGAUUACACAGAUCCACACGAAUUAGAAAACAAACCCAAUUUUGAUAAACUCCCAUAUCUACUGGGUGAAAUUCCACAGUGUGCCAUAACAGCAGCAAGAUUUGUGACCUGUUGCAACCAGAAAAGGGCAACCAGUGAAGAACAAACACCAUUGUAAAUGCAACCCAUAUUUAUGCUUAUUUAUUUUCCCUUGUGUACUUUAACCAUUUGCACAUCGUUACAACACUGUAUAUAUAAUAUGACAUUUGAACUUUUGUGUAAUGCUUACUGUUAUUUUUUAUUGUUUAUUUCACUUUUGUUUAUUAUCUAUUUCACUUACUUUGGCAACGUUAACAUGUUUCCCAUGCCAAUAAAGCCUCUUGAAUUGAAAUUGAAAUUCAGAGAGAGACUUUUUGUCUUUCUUUAAUGAUAAUGAUACAUGCUCAUAUCAUUUCAUUAAAACCUCACCCCCCUUUAAAACAAAUAUCCCCUGUGAUGCAUCCUCACCUUGCCCUCUACCCCACGAUACAAAACAACACCACACAUCACAAUAACCAAAACCUCACCACUUCUACAACUGUAUAUCCAACCCAUCUUCCCUAGCUGUACAGACACCCCCUAUUCCCCGUGGGUCCUGGUUAAAUGGCCCCCUAUUCCCUGUGGGUCCUGGUUAAAUGGCCCCCUAUUCCCUGUGGGUCCUGGUUAAAUGGCCCCCUAUUCCCUGUGGGUCCUGGUUAAAUGGCCCCCUAUUCCCUGUGGGUCCUGGUUAAAUGGCCCCCUAUUCCCUGUGGGUCCUGGUUAAAUGGCCCCUAUUCCCCGUGGGUCCUGGUUAAAUGGCCCCCUGUUCCCCGUGGGUCCUGGUUAAAUGGCCCCCUAUUCCCUGUGGGUCCUGGUUAAAUGGCCCCCUAUUCCCUGUGGGUCCUGGUUAAAUGGCCCCCUAUUCCCUGUGGGUCCUGGUUAAAUGGCCCCUAUUCCCAGUGGGUCCUGGUUAAAUGGCCCCCUGUUCCCCGUGGGUCCUGGUUAAAUGGCCCCCUAUUCCCUGUGGGUCCUGGUCAAAUGGCCCCCUAUUCCCCAUGGGUCCUGGUCAAAUGGCCCCCUAUUCCCCGUGGGUCCUGGUCAAAUGGCCCCCUAUUCCCCGUGGGUCCUGGUCAAAUGGCCCCCUAUUCCCCGUGGGUCC
ensembl:lncRNA